rnacentral:rRNA from 1 species
UUUGAUGGCGACCGGCGCACGGGUGAGUAACACGUAUCCAACCUGCCGAUGACUCGGGGAUAGCCUUUCGAAAGAAAGAUUAAUACCCGAUGGCAUAGUUCUUCCACAUGGUAGAACUAUUAAAGAAUUUCGGUCAUCGAUGGGGAUGCGUUCCAUUAGGUUGUUGGCGGGGUAACGGCCCACCAAGCCUUCGAUGGAUAGGGGUUCUGAGAGGAAGGUCCCCCACAUUGGAACUGAGACACGGUCCAA